UCCUUUAACCUUCAGCUAGCUAUAUAGCAUUUUUUGCACUUGUAUUCCUUCUCAACUAGUAGCAUAGGGAUCCACAUUAGAAUGGAGUUCACGUGUAAUUAUGAAGGCAUUUGCAUUUUAUACGAAGCACUAGGUAUGGUAACCACACAAAUGAAGUAAUGAGUAAUUUGACACUGUCACAGUUUAAUGUUUAUGUGCUAUCUUAUGAGUAGGAUGGAAGCAGAAACAAUGAAUCCAGCACAAUCUGACCAGAAUGGGAUGAAAGUCCUCAGAGCGACAAAAAUAGGCACUGGGAAAGGCAGCUGCUGCUAUGGAGAUUUCACUGUAACAGAAAGCAAAAAGUGGAGGUCUGAUUCUUGCUCGAAGAACUGAUCCUGUUUAACCAGCCCUGAAGCUGUUCUGAAUGUGCUGUAGACCAGUGAGAAUGGAUCGCCCCGCACUGAUCAGUUUGUAGUGGGAAUGGCAAGGAAAUGGCACGGAGAGAAGAAUCAAGUUUGAGAUACUUAGUAACAGCAGCUUCCUCCCAGAAACACCCCCUUUCUCCCUAACAGGCAAGGAGGAGAGUGAGUGGUCCAAGGGCUAGAUAAGCUACCUUUGUGUCUCCCACUGAGUACUUUUAGACAGGUGGAAUUCUGCUUCAGUUACUUCUGUAGCUAUCCAAGGAAUUUACUCUGGUUGGUGCAAAUGUGUUAACUGAAUUCAAAUGCUCAGUAGUGACAGAACAGUGCAAAAAUACUUGCCAGAGGGUUGGCCCCAUUACUUCUAUGAGGCUUACAAAUUCCAUAUGUAA